GUCACUUUGGCCGAGUGGUUAAGGCGCGCCCCUGCUACUAGUAGCUGUUUAGGGCGUUUCUUCGGAAGCGUAGGUUCGAAUCCUGCAGGUGACG